GCGAGCCCACCUCCCACCCGUGUUUACUGUACCUUAGUUGCUUCGGCGGGCCCGCCAUUCAUGGCCGCCGGGGGCUCUCAGCCCCGGGCCCGCGCCCGCCGGAGACACCACGAACUCUGUCUGAUCUAGUGAAGUCUGAGUUGAUUGUAUCGCAAUCAGUUAAAACUUUCAACAAUGGAUCUCUUGGUUCCGGCAUCGAUGAAGAACGCAGCGAAAUGCGAUAACUAGUGUGAAUUGCAGAAUUCCGUGAAUCAUCGAGUCUUUGAACGCACAUUGCGCCCCCUGGUAUUCCGGGGGGCAUGCCUGUCCGAGCGUCAUUGCUGCCCAUCAAGCACGGCUUGUGUGUUGGGUCGUCGUCCCCUCUCCGGGGGGGACGGGCCCCAAAGGCAGCGGCGGCACCGCGUCCGAUCCUCGAGCGUAUGGGGCUUUGUCACCCGCUCUGUAGGCCCGGCCGGCGCUUGCCGAACGCAAAUCAAUCUUUUUCCAGGUUGACCUCGGAUCAGGUAGGGAUACCCGCUGAACUUAAGCAUAUCAAUAGGCGGAGGA
rnacentral:rRNA from 1 species